rnacentral:rRNA from 1 species
GUGCCAGCAGCCGCGGUAAUACGUAGGUGGCAAGCGUUGUCCGGAUUUAUUGGGCGUAAAGCGAGCGCAGGCGGUUUCUUAAGUCUGAUGUGAAAGCCCCCGGCUCAACCGGGGAGGGUCAUUGGAAACUGGGAAACUUGAGUGCAGAAGAGGAGAGUGGAAUUCCAUGUGUAGCGGUGAAAUGCGUAGAUAUAUGGAGGAACACCAGUGGCGAAGGCGGCUCUCUGGUCUGUAACUGACGCUGAGGCUCGAAAGCGUGGGGAGCAAACAGGAUUAGAWACCCUGGUAGUCC